GACGAACGCUGGCGGCGUGCUUAACACAUGCAAGUCGAACGGAAAGGCCCUGCUUUUGUGGGGUGCUCGAGUGGCGAACGGGUGAGUAACACGUGAGUAACCUGCCCUUGACUUUGGGAUAACUUCAGGAAACUGGGGCUAAUACCGGAUAGGAGCUCCUGCUGCAUGGUGGGGGUUGGAAAGUUUCGGCGGUUGGGGAUGGACUCGCGGCUUAUCAGCUUGUUGGUGGGGUAGUGGCUUACCCAGGCUUUGACGGGUAGCCGGCCUGAGAGGGUGAUCGGCGACACUGGAACUGAGAGGAGGACAAGGCUCGUACGGGAGGCAGCGGUAGGGAAUCUUCCGCAAGGGGCGAAAGCUGGACGGAGCAGCGCGGCGUGAGUGAUGAAGGUCUCCGGAUCGUAAAACUCUGUUAGUAGGGAAGAACAAAUGUGUAAGUAACUAUGCACGUCUUGACGUGACCGAAUAAGAAAGACACGGCUAACUACGUG
rnacentral:rRNA from 1 species